AAAUUUGCUAAUAACUGAAGUGAAGUCGCAAGACACUGGAAACUAUACCUGCACAGCGUCUAACAUUCACGGCUCUGAUGUUAUCACUUAUACACUCACUGUUCAAGUUCCUCCAUCGCCGCCACUUGCUUAUGUGUCAGAUGUCACUUCCACUACACUGACUGUUCGUUGGCGGACAACUAAUAAUGGCGGCGCUCUAAUCCUAGGAUAUUAUCUUUACGAAAAA
rnacentral:lncRNA from 1 species